rnacentral:rRNA from 2 species
GAUGGAGCACGCCGCGUGAGUGAGAAGGGUUUCGGCUCGUAAAACUCUGUUGUUAGAGAAGAACAGCUGGAGAGUAACUGCUCACGGUAUGACGGUAUCUAACCAGAAAGUCACGGCUAACUACGUGCCAGCAGCCGCGGUAAUACGUAGGUGGCAAACGUUGUCCGGAUUUAUUGGGCGUAAAGGGAGCGCAGGCGGUUUAUUAAGUCUGAUGUGAAAGCCUUCGGCUUAACCGGAGAAGUGCAUCGGAAACUGAUAAACUUGAGUGCAGAAAAGGAUAGUGGAACUUCAUGUGUAGCGGUGGAAUAA